ACCAGCUUGAAACUCAAAAGACUUGACAGUAUCUCAUACACACCUAGAGGAGCCUGUCCAAUAAUCGAUAACCCACGAUACACCUUACCAGUCCUAGCACUAUAUCAGCCUAUAUACCUCCGUCGCCAGUCCGCCUGACAACAGACAAUAAAGCGAAUAUAACAGUCAACCGCUCAUACGACAGGUCAAGGUGUAGCUAAUGUACUGGGCAGCGAUGGGCUACAUUUUCUUCACAAGAAAUUACUAACAAUGCCAUGAAAACCACACAUAAAGUUGGAUUUAGCAGUAAG
rnacentral:rRNA from 1 species